GCCGCUUUCAAAAUCGGUGAGCUGUUUCUUCCCAAUGGAGAAUCAUACUGUGGGUCACUGCUGGGCAGUGUACCAGAAGGUACCGGAAAGUAUGUUUGGUCAGAUGGUUGCAUUUAUGAGGGCGAAUGGAGACGGGGAACAAGAAAUGGAACUGGGAAAAUUCAGUGGCCUUCUGGAGCCGCUUACGAAGGUGAAUUUUCAGGUGGAUAUAUGCACGGUGCAGGUAACUACAUUGGUGCCAACAACGUAAGCUACAGGGGAAGAUGGCGAUUGAAUCUCAAGCAUGGCUUGGGUUAUCAAGUUUAUCCUAACCGAGAUGUCUUUGAAGGUUCUUGGUUACAAGGAACACCAGAAGGGCCUGGCAAGUAUAGCUGGGCUAAUGGAAAUGUAUACGUGGGGAACAUGAAAGGAGGGAAAAUGACAGGGAAAGGAACUCUUACUUGGAUGAAUGGAGACUCAUUUGAAGGAAGCUGGUUAAAUGGGAUGAUGCAUGGAUUAGGAGUAUAUACCUGGACUGAUGGUGGUUGCUAU
rnacentral:lncRNA from 1 species